rnacentral:lncRNA from 1 species
CUUAUUAACCAGAAGACAGUAUAAGGUCUAUUUUGAAAGACGGAUGUCUCUUGAGCUUAAUAGAAAGAAAUGUUUAUUAAUAGUUCUUAGUCAACCUAUCUCAUGCAUGUAUUGAAUUUUAAUGAAUAUUGGUUUACUCAUUUGCUCUAAAUUUAACUGGAACACUACCAAGAGGGGAUUAAUCUAGAUAAUAAAUAUGUUUCUCAUUUUUCCAUAAGACUCAAUCAUGAUGACAUUUUUACUUUGUUCCCCAUAGAAGUCAAAUUCUACUGAAGUGACGGAGUGAGAACAAGAGCGACUAAGAUAGAGAAAGAAAGAGAGAGAGACAGAGAGAGAGAGAGAGAUGUUAUGAACAAGGGUGAGUUUGGAUUAUUGAGGGGGGAAAACAUGGCAACAUUGAAAAAAAAAGUUUCUGGCAGUUAUUUCUCUAUUGUAGCAGUUUUUUAUUAGGUUUUAUGAAAGUGUCAAAUCAAGCACCAAGGAAAAUGGUUUACAAAUGCAGAACUCUAAAAAAAAAAAGGAUAAAAAAGAGAUCAAAGACAGCACAAAAAAUGUUAUGUUUAAAAAGAUGGAUCGAGAUCAGGUUUCCAUUUCAGUGUUAUUUGGAGUCAAUUCAAAGGCCACUUUAACCUUACACAGAAACAUGAAUUGAUUUUAAUGGCAUCUAUGAAAAAAAAACUUUGCCUCAAACACUGUAACGAAAAGAUUCCAAUGAAGUUGUUAUGCCUAUAAUGUUGUUAUCAUCACUCUGUGCCUCAAAGCUGGACUUGUAUAUUAAAAGAUGGAAAAUAUUUGAAGAAAGAAAAGUCAAGCUAGGACUUAGAACUCUGGUGCAAAAAUUCUAUAUCAUCAAGCCCUAACUUUAAGCCAGUCAGCUGUCAGCUUACAAAGCACACAUUUGUGUCAUGUUUCUAUAGAUCACACGUUUUAGAGACAAAACUUAUAAGUUCACCUGAAAGAUACAGAUGUAGAGUUUGAUAAUAAAUAUGGAAAAUAAAUGUUUACUUAUUUUUG